rnacentral:rRNA from 1 species
AGGACGAACGCUGGCGGCGUGCCUAACACAUGCAAGUCAGGGAGAAAGGGAUAGCAAUAUCCCGAGUAAACCGGCGCACGGGUGAGUAACGCGUAGGUAAUUUGCCCUGGAGACUGGGAUAACCUUGCGAAAGCGAGGCUAAUACCGGAUAGGCAAUCUUGGGGCUUCCCAAGAUUGUUAAAGGAUUGGCAACAAUCCGCUCUAGGAUAAGCCUGCGUCCGAUUAGCUAGUUGGUAGGGUAAUGGCCUACCAAGGCGACGAUCGGUAGCUGGUCUGAGAGGAUGAUCAGCCACACUGGGACUGAGACACGGCCCAGACUCCUACGGGAGGCAGCAGUGAGGAAUAUUGGGCAAUGCCCGAAAGGGUGACCCAGCAACGCCGCGUGGAGGAUGAAGUCCUUCUGGACGUAAACUC